CCAGGUGUAGCGGUGAAAUGCGUAGAGAUCUGGAGGAAUACCGAUGGCGAAGGCAGCCAUCUGGCCUAAUACUGACGCUGAGGUACGAAAGCAUGGGGAGCAAACAGGAUUAGAUACCCUGGUAGUCCAUGCCGUAAACGAUGUCUACUAGGAGGUGGUGCCUUUGAGGCGUUAGUUGCGCAGCUAACGCGAUAAGUAGACCGCCUGGGGAGUACGGUCGCAAGAUUAAAACUCAAAUGAAUUGACGGGGGCCCGCACAAGCGGUGGAGCAUGUGGUUUAAUUCGAUGCAACGCGAAGAACCUUACCUGGCCUUGACAUCCUAGAAACUUUCCAGAGAUGGAUUGGUGCCUUCGGGAAUUUAGAUACAGGUGCUGCAUGGCUGUCGUCAGCUCGUGUUGUGAAAUGUUGGGUUAAGUCCCGCAACGAGCGCAACCCUUUUCCUUACUUGCCAGCAUUUCGGAUGGGAACUUUAAGGAUACUGCCAGUGACAAACUGGAGGAAGGUGGGGAUGACGUCAAGUCAUCAUGGCCCUUACGGCCAGGGCUACACACGUGCUACAAUGGUCGGUACAAAGGGAAGCUACCCAGCGAGAGCAAGCUAAUCUCAAAAAGCCGAUCGUAGUCCGGAUUGGAGUCUGCAACUCGACUCCAUGAAGUCGGAAUCGCUAGUAAUUGCGGAUCAGAAAUCCGCGGGGAAUACGUUCCCGGGCCUUGUACACACCCCCCGUCCCCCCCUGGGAGUUUGGUGCACCAGAAGUAAGUAACCU
rnacentral:rRNA from 1 species